CAUGUUGCUCCGACAUACACAUCCAGUGUCUACAAAACAUGCAACCAGUGAAGGGAAGCGUGUGGCUACUGUGGAUUUCACUCAGACCAAAGUGUCAAUGUACCGUGCGCUCACAGAUGCAAUGCUGACGGGGAGAAAGACUCCACAGUGUUGCUUGUGCAGGAGCUUCACCAGUUCAUCAGAGAGUUCCUGUUCAGGGUCAUGAAGAACACUUGACUGCUGCCGCCUGACCGCACCGAGGCGAAGAACACCUGCGGAAUUAAAAAAAGAAAGAUGAACUUGAGUCUCUGAGCUCUCUUGUGCAUGAAAACCCCAUCCAGGUGACCAGUUUCCACAGAGCGGAUCUCAAUGGCUUUCUCUCCCCAGCCCAUGAUCUGGUUGGAAUGGAUAUAAGCUGCAAAACAGAACAUUAUUUUAAGCUCUCGUGUAUCAAAAACAACAAACCAUAGUUGAUAAGCAUUACCAUCAGGAUAUUCUGUAAAUCUGCUUAGAAAUGAUAUAAGUUGUUAAAUUGAAAUCACUACAUACGCACACACACUGUUGUUUCCUAUCUUAGAGAGGACAUUGUAUAGACUUCCAUUUGUUUUUAUAUCAGGUUAAUGAUACUGUCUAUGGCCUAACCGUAUACCCCAACACUCACAGAAAUGUGCCAAUUAUGGGAUACUAAUAAAAAAUAAAUCUGGUCUAUUUAUAA